GCGGCCUAUCAGCUUGUUGGUGAGGUAAUGGCUCACCAAGGCGACGACGGGUAGCCGGCCUGAGAGGGCGACCGGCCACACUGGGACUGAGACACGGCCCAGACUCCUACGGGAGGCAGCAGUGGGGAAUAUUGGGCAAUGGACGCAAGUCUGACCCAGCGACGCCGCGUGCGGGAUGAAGGCCUUCGGGUUGUAAACCGCUUUCAGCAGGGAAGAAGCGAAAGUGACGGUACCUGCAAAAGAAGCACCGGCUAACUAUGUGCCAGCAGCCGCGGUAAUACAUAGGGUGCAAGCGUUGUCCGGAAUUAUUGGGCGUAAAGAGUUCGUAGGUGGUUCGUUACGUCGGAUGUGAAAAUCUGGGGCUCAACCCCAGACCUGCAUUCGAUACGGGCGAGCUAUAGUUUGGUAGGGGAGACUGGAAUUCCU
rnacentral:rRNA from 1 species